rnacentral:rRNA from 1 species
CCAGACUCCUACGGGAGGCAGCAGUGGGGAAUAUUGCACAAUGGGGGGAACCCUGAUGCAGCGACGCCGCGUGAGUGAAGAAGUAUUUCGGUAUGUAAAGCUCUGUCAGCGGGGAAGAAAGAAGACGGUACCCGACCAAGAAGCCCCGGCUAACUACGUGCCAGCAGCCGCGGUAAUACGUAGGGGGCGAGCGUUAUCCGGAAUUACUGGGUGUAAAGGGAGCGUAGACGGCGAAGUAAGCCUGAAGUGGAAGCCCGCGGCCCAACCGCGGAACUGCUUUGGGAACUGUUUUGCUGGAGUAUGGGAGGGGUAAGCGGAAUUCCUGGUGUAGCGGUGAAAUGCGUAGAUAUUAGGAGGGACACCAGUGGCGAAGGCGGCCUGCUGGACGGUGUACUGACGCUGAGGCUCGAAAGCGUGGGGAGCAAACAGGAUUAGAUACCCGGGUAC